rnacentral:siRNA from 1 species
CUGAAGUGUUUGGGGGAAC